GGUAGAGUAGAGUACAGUAGAGUACAGUAGAGUAGAGUACAGUAGUGUAGAGUAGGGUAGAGUAGAGUACAGUAGGGUAGAGUGGAGAAGAGUAAGGUAGAGUAAAGCAGGGUAGAGUAGAUCAGAGCAGAGUAGAGCAGAGUAGAUCAGAACAGAGUCGGGUAGAGUAGAUCAGAGCAGAGUCGGGUAGAGUAGAUCAGAGUAGAGUCGGGUAGAGUAGAUCAGAGUAGAGUCGGGUAGAGUAGAUCAGAGUAGAGCAGGGUAGAGUAGAUCAGAGUAGAGCAGGGUAGAGUAGAUCAGAGUAGAGCAGGGUAGAGUAGAUCAGAGUAGAGCAGGGCAGAAUAGAUCAGAGUAGAGCAGGGCAGAAUAGAUCAGAGUAGAGCAGGGUAGAGUAGAUCAGAGUAGAGCAGGGUAGAGUAGAUCAGAACAGAGUCGGGUAGAGUAGAUCAGAACAGAGUCGGGUAGAGUAGAUCAGAACAGAG
ensembl:lncRNA